CCUGGUUGAUCCUGCCAGUAGUCAUAUGCUUGUCUCAAAGAUUAAGCCAUGCAUGUCUAAGUACAAGCCUCACUAAGGUGAAACCGCGAAUGGCUCAUUAAAUCACACCUAAUGUACUGGACAGUCUCAGUUACUUGGAUAACUGCGGUAAUUCUGGAGCUAAUACAUGCGUACUAGCCGCGACUCACGGAGCGGUGCUUUUAUUAGAUCAAAACCAAACGGCCUCGAGCCGUCCCCCUGGUGAUUCUGAAUAACUUUGGGCUGAUCGCACGGACUCGUUCCGGCGACGUGUCCUUCCAAGGUGUGCCCUAUCAACUGUCGACUGUGGCAUAGACGCCCACAGUGGUUUUGACGGGUAACGGGGAAUUAGGGUUCGAUUCCGGAGAGGGAGCCUGAGAAACGGCUACCACUUCUACGGAAGGCAGCAGGCACGCAAAUUACCCACUGGCCGAAGGCCGAGGUAGUGACGAAAAAUAACGAUACCGGACUCAUCCGAGGCCCGGUAAUCGGAAUGAGUACACUUUAAAUCCUUUAACGAGGAACAAUUGGAGGGCAAGUCUGGUGCCAGCAGCCGCGGUAAUUCCAGCUCCAAUAGCGUAUAUUAAAGUUGUUGCGGUUAAAAAGCUCGUAGUUGGAUCUCGGCGGGCAGGGGGUGGUUCGCUCUUCAGCGCUACUGCCCCGCUUUGCCCGUGUGAUUGGCGGAGGUUUCGGGGUGCUCUUCGUUGAGUGACUCGGAGCGCCGUCAGGUUUACUUUGAAAAAAUUAGAGUGCUCAAAGCAGGCUUUUCACGCUUGAAUAUUCGUGCAUGGAAUAAUGGAAUAGGAACUCGUUUCUAUUUUGUUGGUUUUCGGAAAUCGAGUUAAUGAUUAACAGGGACAAUUGGGGGCAUUAGUAUUCAGACGACAGAGGUGAAAUUCUUGGACCGUCUGAAGACUGACUACUGCGAAAGCAUUUGCCAAGAGUGUUUUCAUUAAUCAAGAACGAAAGUUAGAGGUUCGAAGGCGAUCAGAUACCGCCCUAGUUCUAACCAUAAACGAUGCCAGCUAGCGAUCUGCCGAGUUUUUUUUGUAGGCUCCGCAGGAAGCUUUCGGGAAACCAAAGCUUUUGGGUUCCGGGGGAAGUAUGGUUGCAAAGCUGAAACUUAAAGGAAUUGACGGAAGGGCACCACC
rnacentral:rRNA from 1 species